ensembl:lncRNA
CUUUGUUUGGUUGCAUAUUUUUGCACGACAAAGCUUUUCGUUUGUUGUGGGUUUUUUUUCUUUGCUGGUUCACAUUUUAAUAAAGUAUGAUGAACCCAAAUCACGCUGCGCCUUGGUCUCCCGUUACAAUUGAUGAGCUGCAUGAAUAGCCAAAAGUGAAUUUACAUUGCGACAAUGACUGGAGGUUGGCGAACUACACAUUUUUUACUGCCGUAAUUUUGCAGUGUAACUGCAGUUAUUCUGUAAUUACCAAAGAGUCCAAAAUACCACAGUUUCAAAACUGCAGUCUUUUUUAGCCGUGGGCUCAGAGCACUUUGGCUGCAGCUUGGCGGUGGGAGAAUGGCUUCCGUCCAGCUGAGAUAAUGGAAUUGGUGUGUUCUCCCUGGUAUGCGCUCCUGACUGGAGUCAGUUCUGUUAAUAGCAGGAGCUUCAACUCGCAGACCCCUACUCUGGCUUGGGCGGCACAUGGGGAGGAAAGAGGAGAGCAGUACAUGAGGCAGUGAGAGAUUUGGAAGCUGAUCUGAGGAUGUUCCCUGAUGUCUCAAGCUAGGCAUCUCCGGGUGCCAUAUGGCAACGGCUGUGUAUGGAAUAGAGAGAGUGUGGUAAACGGGCCACAUUAAACCGAGCUAUGUGUGACACUUCACAGCCAGAGUCUCCCUCCUCUUUGUAGUCAUUAUUGUAUGAAAGUGCUGACCAAAGCGAUUGCACCGCAGCCUGUGAUCUCAAACACUAGGACAUGUUCACCUGUCUUUUGUGGAUGAAAACAUUGACAUCUGCAAAAACAAAACCAGAAGUAAAAAGUCGGCUGUAUACGCAAGAAGGGGAACAGAGAUUAUUAGCGGUUGUGUUCGUUGUUAUGUUAUGUAGUUAUAUGCUCAGUCAUACAUUCUUCAUUUAAAUAAUACACACCCCAGGAAUAUAUUAUUGCAUGAAGAACAACACAUCACUAUUUUAAUGUUUAUUUUGCAUGUGACCUUCUGUGAAUAAUGGAUAUUGUUAAUGGAGCAAAAUAAUCUAACAUUGUUUCCACAUUAUAAUGACAAUAACUUUAAGAAAAUACUCAUAUAUACUUUCAUGGACAGUGCAUCUCAUUUCAUAAAGUGUACAUUGCUGCUGGCUCCGUACUGAAACUGAAGUGUACCACUUGAGAGUACUAAUCGCCUCCUAAGCAUGUCUGGUGAGUGUUUCUCUGUGCAUCAAUGUGCCUGGUGAUGGUCUGUCUAAUGUGAGUGCUAUGGCUAUGCCUGUGAGUCCCUCCUCACUACACUCAUCUGGUCGCUUCAUUGCACCCUAGGAAAUAUUUCAUGAUCUCUAAGUGACUAAAACACACUGUGAGCAUUUUUGAU